rnacentral:rRNA from 1 species
AUUGACCGCUGGCGGCAGGCCUACCCCAUGAAAGUCGAGCGAGCGGCGGACGGGUGAGUAAUGUCUGGGAAACUGCCUGAUGGAGGGGGAUAACUACUGGAAACGGUAGCUAAUACCGCAUACCAUCAGAUGUGCCCAGAUGGGAUUAGCUCGUGGGUGGGGUAACGGCUCACCUAGGCGACGAUCCCUAGCUGGUAUGAGAGGAUGACCAGCCACACUGGAACUGAGACACGGUCCAGACGCCUACGGGAGGCAGCAGUAGGGAAUAUUGCACAAUGGGCGCAAGCCUGAUGCAGCAAUGCCGCGUGUGUGAAGAAGGCCUUCGGGUUGUAAAGCACUUUCAGCGGGGAGGCGUUACCCGCAGAAGAAGCACCGGCUAACUCCGUGCCAGCAGCCGCGGUAAUUC